AACAGGAUUAGAUACCCUGGUAGUCCACGCUGUAAACGAUGUCGACUUGGAGGUUGUGCCCUUGAGGCGUGGCUUCCGGAGCUAACGCGUUAAGUCGACCGCCUGGGGAGUACGGCCGCAAGGUUAAAACUCAAAUGAAUUGACGGGGGCCCGCACAAGCGGUGGAGCAUGUGGUUUAAUUCGAUGCAACGCGAAGAACCUUACCUACUCUUGACAUCCAGAGAAUUUGCUAGAGAUAGCUUAGUGCCUUCGGGAACUCUGAGACAGGUGCUGCAUGGCUGUCGUCAGCUCGUGUUGUGAAAUGUUGGGUUAAGUCCCGCAACGAGCGCAACCCUUAUCCUUUGUUGCCAGCACGUAAUGGUGGGAACUCAAAGGAGACUGCCGGUGAUAAACCGGAGGAAGGUGGGGAUGACGUCAAGUCAUCAUGGCCCUUACGAGUAGGGCUACACACGUGCUACAAUGGCAUAUACAAAGAGAAGCGAACUCGCGAGAGCAAGCGGACCUCAUAAAGUAUGUCGUAGUCCGGAUUGGAGUCUGCAACUCGACUCCAUGAAGUCGGAAUCGCUAGUAAUCGUAGAUCAGAGUGCUACGGUGAAUACGUUCCCGGGCCUUGUACACACCGCCCGUCACACCAUGGGAGUGGGUUGCAAAAGAAGUAGGUAGCUUAACCUUCGGGAGGGCGCUUACCACUUUGUGAUUCAUGACUGGGGUGAAGUCGUAACAAGGUAACC
rnacentral:rRNA from 1 species